UACGUAGGCGGAAAAUUAAGUCAGUAGUGAAAUCCUGCAGCUUAACUGUAGAACUGUUAUUGAUACUGGUUUUCUUGAAUAUAGUUGAAGUAGGCGGAAUGUGUAAUGUAGCGGUGAAAUGCUUAGAUAUUACACAGAACACCGAUUGCGAAGGCAGCUUACUAAGCUAUGCUUGACGCUGAGGUACGAAAGCGUGGGGAGCGAACAGGAUUAGAUACCCUGGUAGUCC
rnacentral:rRNA from 1 species